UACGUAGGGGGCUAGCGUUGUUCGGAAUUACUGGGCGUAAAGGGCGCGUAGGCGGCACAGCAAGUCGGGAGUGAAAGCCCGGGGCUCAACCCCGGAAUGGCUUUCGAAACUGCUGAGCUAGAGUACAGAAGGGGCAACCGGAAUUCCCAGUGUAGCGGUGAAAUGCGUAGAUAUUGGGAAGAACACCUGAGGCGAAGGCGGGUUGCUGGGCUGAUACUGACGCUGAGGCGCGAAAGCCAGGGGAGCAAACGGG
rnacentral:rRNA from 1 species